GCCUGGGUGGCUCAGUCGGUUAAGCAUCUGACUUCGGCUCAGGUCAUGACAUCAAGGUUCGUGGGUUCGAGCCCCACGUCAGGCU
rnacentral:tRNA from 2 species